rnacentral:rRNA from 1 species
GACGAACGCUGGCGGCGUGCUUAACACAUGCAAGUCGAACGGAAAGGCCUGCUUUCCCUUGUGGAUUGCGGGUACUCGAGUGGCGAACGGGUGAGUAACACGUGAGUGAUCUGCCCCCAACUUGGGUAUAAGCCUGGGAAACUGGGUCUAAUUCCCGAUAGGACUGUAGGGUGGUGCCUUUGGUGGAAAACGAUUUUCUAGUGUUUGGGGAUGAGCUCGCGGCCUAUCAGCUGGUUGGUGGGGUAAUGGCCUACCAAGGCGGCGACGGGUAGCCGGCCUGAGAGGGUGGACGGCCACAUUGGGACUGAGAUACGGCCCAGACUCCUACGGGAGGCAGCAGUGGGGAAUAUUGCACAAUGGGCGGAAGCCUGAUGCAGCGACGCCGCGUGGGGGAUGACGGCCUUCGGGUUGUAAACUCCUUUCGACCGCGAGGAAGCCACCUGGUUGGAAGGGUGGUGACGGUAGUGGUAGAAGAAGCACCGGCUAACUACGUG